ACUCAAAUGAAUUGACGGGGACCCGCACAAGCGGUGGAUGAUGUGGAUUAAUUCGAUGCAACGCGAAAAACCUUACCUACCCUUGACAUGGUCCGAACCUGCUAGAGAUAGUGGGGUGCUCGCAAGAGAGCGGAUACACAGGUGCUGCAUGGCUGUCGUCAGCUCGUGUCGUGAGAUGUUGGGUUAAGUCCCGCAACGAGCGCAACCCUUGUCAUUAAUUGCCAUCAUUAGGUUGGGCACUUUAAUGAGACUGCCGGUGACAAACCGGAGGAAGGUGGGGAUGACGUCAAGUCCUCAUGGCCCUUAUGGGUAGGGCCUCACACGUCAUACAAUGGUACAUACAGAGGGUUGCCAAGCCGCGAGGUGGAGCUAAUCCCAGAAAGUGUAUCGUAGUCCGGAUUGGAGUCUGCAACCCGACUCCAUGAAGUUGGAAUCGCUAGUAAUCGCGGAUCAGCAUGUCGCGGUGAAUACGUUCCCGGGUCUUGUACACACCGCCCGU
rnacentral:rRNA from 1 species